CCCACUGUGACGCAUGUUAAACUCGAGUGACCAGAUGGAGCUGUGGAGUCCGUGCUCAGGGAGAGAGGCUAGGCUGGCAGGAAGGGGUGGAGACAUGAGCGGCAGGUGCUGUGUGGAGGCAUGGUACCCGCAGGAGUGUACCCAGAACCGAAAGUGAGCCCAAGGCCCACCAUUGUUGUGAGGCCGAGAGAGGAGUCUGUGAGGUAAUAUAGUCCCAUGAUCCCACACAAAGAAGAUUCCUGGCCGGGCACAAUGGCUCACACCUCUAAUGCCAGCACUUUGGGAGGCCGAGGAGGGAAGAUCACUUGAGCUCAAGAGUUCGAGACCAGCGUGGGCAACAUAGUGAGACACCAUUCCUACAAAAAUAAAAAAUAAAAAAAUUAGCCGGGUGGAGUGGUACGUGCCUAUAGUACACAGCUACAGCCAUGCAGGAGGCUAAGACUGGGGGAUUGCUUGAGCCCAGGAGUUUGAGGCUGCAGUGAGCUAUGAUCACACUGCUGCACUCCAACCUGGAUGACAGAGUGAGACCUUGUCUCUCUCUCUCUCUGUUUUUUGUUUGUUUGUUUGUUUGUUUGUUUGUUUUUUAGACAGAGUUUCGCUCUUGUUGCCCAGGCUGGAGUGCAAUGGCAUGACCUCGGCUUGCUGCAACUUUUGCCUCCUGGGUUCAAGUGAUUCUCCUGCCUCAGCCUCCCGAGUAGCUGGAAUUAGAGGCGCCCGCC
rnacentral:lncRNA from 10 species